UAUUGUAUUGCGUUAAACGCGACAUACAUUCCAUGAGACUUUAUUACAGUGUGUGUGUAAAUACGUAGGACCACAGCAGGGGGACAGAGCCCCAGGCUACAGAACUACGGAGGGUGCACAGGUGUGAGUGGAUGUGCAAACAGAGCGUGCACAUGCCCCCAUUUGAGGACCAGCAACAACUCGUGUCGACAAUUCGGUAAUGAUCCUUCCGCAGGUUCACCUACGGAAA
rnacentral:misc_RNA from 1 species